rnacentral:rRNA from 1 species
CCUACGGGAGGCAGCAGUGAGGAAUAUUGGUCAAUGGGCGUAAGCCUGAACCAGCCAAUUCGCUUUAUUUAUUAAGUUUCUAUUUAUCUUAAACCUCUUUUAUAAUUUAAUAAAGUGUGGGACGUGUCCUAUUUUGUAUGUACCUUAUGAAUAAGGAUCGGCUAACUCCGUGCCAGCAGCCGCGGUAAUACGGAGGAUCCGAGCGUUAUCCGGAUUUAUUGGGGUUAAAGGGUGCGUAGGCGGCCUUUUAAGUCAGCGGUGAAAGUCUGUGGCUCAACCAUAGAAUUGCCGUUGAAACUGGGGGGCUUGAGUAUGUUUGAGGCAGGCGGAAUGCGUGGUGUAGCGGUGAAAUGCUUAGAUAUCACGCAGAACCCCGAUUGCGAAGGCAGCCUGCCAAGCCAUGACUGACGCUGAUGCACGAAAGCGUGGGGAUCAAACAGGAUUAGAUACCCCUGUAGUC